CCUACGGGUGGCAGCAGUGGGGAAUAUUGCACAAUGGGCGCAAGCCUGAUGCAGCCAUGCCGCGUGUGUGAAGAAGGCCUUCGGGUUGUAAAGCACUUUCAGCGGGGAGGAAGGCGGUGAGGUUAAUAACCUCAUCGAUUGACGUUACCCGCAGAAGAAGCACCGGCUAACUCCGUGCCAGCAGCCGCGGUAAUACGGAGGGUGCAAGCGUUAAUCGGAAUUACUGGGCGUAAAGCGCACGCAGGCGGUCUGUCAAGUCGGAUGUGAAAUCCCCGGGCUCAACCUGGGAACUGCAUUCGAAACUGGCAGGCUAGAGUCUUGUAGAGGGGGGUAGAAUUCCAGGUGUAGCGGUGAAAUGCGUAGAGAUCUGGAGGAAUACCGGUGGCGAAGGCGGCCCCCUGGACAAAGACUGACGCUCAGGUGCGAAAGCGUGGGGAGCAAACAGGAUAGAUACCCUUGUAGUC
rnacentral:rRNA from 1 species